rnacentral:rRNA from 1 species
CGAACGCUGGCGGCGUGCUUAACACAUGCAAGUCGAACGCGAACGAGUUCUUCGGAACUUUAGUAGAGUGGCGCACGGGUGAGUAACGCGUAAGUAAUCUACCCUCGCAUCCGGGAUAACCCACCGAAAGGUGUGCUAAUACCUGAUACGUCUGGAAUUAUACUUUGAAUUCAGAGAAAGGUGGCCUCUUCAUGAAAGCUACUGUGCGGGGAGGAGCUUGCGUACCAUUAGCUAGUUGGUAGGGUAACGGCCUACCAAGGCGAUGAUGGUUAGCGGGUCUGAGAGGAUGAUCCGCCACACUGGAACUGAAACACGGACCAGACUCCUACGGGAGGCAGCAGUGAGGAAUAUUGCGCAAUGGGGGCAACCCUGACGCAGCGACGCCGCGUGGAUGAUGAAGGCCUUCGGGUUGUAAAAUCCUGUCAGAUGGGAAGAAGUGCUAUAUGGUUAAUAUCUGUAUAGUUUGACGGUACCAUCAAAGGAAGCACCGGCUAACUCC